GGUGUACAUUUGUGUCUGGCAAGUGAGUCUCUGUUUCCUGAUCACCAUGAUGUGGGCUGCUUCCCUCGUCCCAUUCUCCCGCCAUGAUGCUCAGCCUCACCUCGAGCCUGAGGAAUGGAGCCAGCCUUCUACAGACUAAGACUAUGAGCCCCCACAUAAACUCUUCUUCCUCUGUAAUUGUGUCGAUCGGGUCAUUUAGUCAAAGCAGCCAAACAGCUGACUCAGUCUGGAACCCACAAGACCUCAUUUUUAAAAAACAAACUUUAAAGAAUAGUUUUUCAUUUAAGGAAAUCUGCAUUGAUGUCCGGAGUUCCACAUACCCUGCACCCCAAGUGGCCCGUCGUCGAGGCCGUGCGGUGGUGUGGCACCUGUGACAAGUCAGCAGGCUCACACUGCCCAUUAUUGACCCAGAGCCUUUCAUUGGUCAGAGCUCCUUGGGUUUCAUCUAAUGUCCUUCUGCUGCUCAGGAGUCCAUCCAGGACGCACAUCAAGCUUGGUUGUCCUGUCCACGUGGUUUCCUCUCAGCUGGAUAGCUUUUAGACCUUCCUUGUUUUUGAUGAGCAGAGCAAUUCUGAGGAUGAUUAGUCAGGUGUUUGGAGAAGACCUCCCACUGGGACCUGAUUUCUUCCUCCUGAUUGGACUGUGCUCGUGGGUUUCACGGAGGAGGCCCACAGAGGUCCAGCAGUUCUCGUGGGAUGGCGUCAGAGCCUGCAGUCCAGGUACACAGACUUCUCAGGUGACAGUAAAAGUGGUGUCAUCCACAAGCUGACCAGGAAAGGAACCCAGGGGAAGUCACUCCUAGGAGUCAGGCUGUUUGGAGCCUGCUGCUAAUGAGCAUCCCAGUCAAAGCUCUGACGGCAGCUGGCUGUCCCGAGAUUGAGUCGACUCCUAAAUCACAGUAAGGUAAGGAUUGUAGCCAGUGUUUGCUUUAUCUGUAUAGAAGAAGCUCGGAGAAAGCAAACCCAAUGGUAGGUUUUCUUGGUGUUACAGACUGUUGGGAACAGGAGCAGGGGUAAGCACAGGGUGGCUCCUGCCUGGAGUCCUCUGUGGGUGUACCUUCAACAUCUACCUGGUGAGAAGACAGAGCUGGUCUGCGGGUGUCAACUGUGUAUCAGACAGAGGGGACUCUGUCCAGGGGAUGUUGCUGGGAGAGCAGAAACCCAACGUGUAGCAGCUGAGAACCCACAGAUGGGAUUCCCCCG